AUUGAACGCUGGCGGCAGGCUUAACACAUGCAAGUCGAACGAGUGGCGGACGGGUGAGUAAUGUCUGGGAAACUGCCUGAUGGAGGGGGAUAACUACUGGAAACGGUAGCUAAUACCGCAUACCAUCGGAUGUGCCCAGAUGGGAUUAGCUAGUAGGUGGGGUAACGGCUCACCUAGGCGACGAUCCCUAGCUGGUCUGCGAGGAUGACCAGCCACACGGGAACUGAGACACGUUCCAGACUCCUACGGGAGGCAGCAGGGGGGAAUAUGGCAAAAUGGUCGCAAGCCUGAUGCAGCAAUGCCGCGUGUGUGAAGAAGGCCUGCGGGUUGUAAAGCACUUUCAUCGAGGAGGCGUUACUCGCAGAAGAAGCACCGGCUAACUCCGUGCCAGCAGCCGCGGUAAUAC
rnacentral:rRNA from 1 species